UGGAGUCGGUGCUGAACCACGUCCCUCAGCCCGAGUACAGGCAGCUCCUGGUGGAAGCUAUUCUCGUCCUGACCUUCCUGUCCGACAUCGAGGUGAACAGCAUCGGGGGCAUCAUCCACGUGGACAGAAUCGUGCACAUGGCCAAUGACCUGUUUCUGCAGGAGCUGAAAUCAUUUGGAGCUACUGGUAGUAUCUUGGAGAAAGACACAGCCACAGGAAUUUGCCACUAUUUUUAUGACAGUGCUCCCAGCGGAGCCUAUGGCACCAUGACUUACCUAACAAAAGCCAUAAUUAUUUAUUUACACGAUUUUCUGCCCAGCACAGGCUGUGCAAUGCAGUAAAUGAUGCCUCACAUGGGAGGGAAGGCUCAGAGGCUCUUCCUCUCCAGUUCAGUGUCACAAACCCCUUGGUUGGUUGCUGCCUGUGUGUGUGCCAUGCACUCCCUGAGCAUUUGGCACUGCUGGGGAUGCUCUGUGCACACCUCCUGCUGGGGACAGGGAGCUGGAAUUUGGCCUGGUUGUAGGAGAGUGUGCAAGAAAUAACAAAUAAUGAGGCUUAUUCUGCCCAAAGUGCAUAAAUGUAAUUUGUAUUAAAUUAGCAAGAAUUAUACAAUUCUGCCAAGGGCAAAGCAGAUUACUUUGUGGAGAUCAAAAGGCAUAAUAAAAUGAGGGAGCUGCAUCGUGGGCAUAGUCUCACAAAUAAGAGAAGUGAUGGAAUUCAUUAAUUUUUCUCCUGCUGUGUGUAAAUGUACAUCAUUGUGAAUCACUAAUGCACAGUGUGAAACAUCCAGGGAAAUGUAAAUUAGAGGAGUAAGAAUAACUUGAAAUAACAUGAUAUUUCUAAUACA